rnacentral:rRNA from 1 species
GACAGAGGGUGCAAGCGUUGUUCGGAAUUACUGGGCGUAAAGGGCUCGUAGGCGGCCAACUAAGUCAGACGUGAAAUCCCCAGGCUCAACUUGGGAACUGCGUCUGAUACUGGAUGGCUUGAAUUCGGGAGAGGGAUGCAGAAUUCCAGGUGUAGCGGUGAAAUGCGUAGAUAUCUGGAGGAAUACCGGUGGCGAAGGCGGCAUCCUGGACCGACAUUGACGCUGAUGAGCGAAAGCUAGGGGAGCAAACGGGG